UGGGGAUUGGGGUAACGGCAGCCCGCCAGGUUCUGGCCCUGGUAGUCCAGGUUCGAAUCCUGGAUCCCCAG
rnacentral:tRNA from 5 species